rnacentral:lncRNA from 1 species
ACCAAAUAACAUACAGCCGAAUAUAACAACAGCAAGAGACCAAACACCACUACACCAAAUCACCUAACCACUUCUAUAAAAUCAACAAAUUUACACCUACAUUACAUAAAAAUUUCUCCCAAAUUAACAUGACAGUUGCUACAUAUACUUACUUCAAGAACCGGAAAAACCACUCCAAGUCAAGUAAGUUGACCGCAAAGUAGCGCAAACAAUUGAGUUUGAUCGAUACUACUGUUGUCAUUUCUACGUGGAAGUUGAACUCGCACUCUUAAAGAUAUGAAUUCUCCUUAUCAACUUGACCAAUCUUUGAUGUUUAA